rnacentral:rRNA from 1 species
GAUGAACGCUAGCUACAGGCUUAACACAUGCAAGUCGAGCGACCGGCGCACGGGUGAGUAACACGUAUCCAACCUGCCCUUUACCCGUUGGUAACCUUUCGAAAGACAGAUUAAUAACAGCUAGACAGGCUGCGGAUGCGUUCGUUUAGGUUGUGGGUGAGUUCACGGCCCACCAAGCCUUCGAUGGAUAGGGGUUCUGAGAGGAAGGGCCCCCACAUUGGAACUGAGACAAGGUCCAAACUCCUACGGGCGGCAGCAGUGAGGGAUAUUGGUCAAUGGGCGUUAGCCUGAACCAGCCAAGUAGCGUGAAGGAUGAAGGCUUAUGGAUCGUAAACUUCUUGUAUAAAAGAAUCUGUAUUAUAUGAAUAAGGAUCGGCUAACUCCGUGCCAGCAGCCGCGGUAAUUC